rnacentral:rRNA from 1 species
ACUCCUACGGGAGGCAGCAGUGGGGAAUAUUGCACAAUGGGCGCAAGCCUGAUGCAGCCAUGCCGCGUGUGUGAAGAAGGCCUUCGGGUUGUAAAGCACUUUCAGUAGGGAGGAAGGUGGUAGUGUUAAUAGCGCUAUCAUUUGACGUUACCUACAGAAGAAGCACCGGCUAACUCCGUGCCAGCAGCCGCGGUAAUACGGAGGGUGCGAGCGUUAAUCGGAAUUACUGGGCGUAAAGCGCAUGCAGGUGGUUUGUUAAGUCAGAUGUGAAAG